GAUGAACGCUGGCGGCGUGCCUAAUACAUGCAAGUCGAGCGAACAGACGAGGAGCUUGCUCCUCUGACGUUAGCGGCGGACGGGUGAGUAACACGUGGAUAACCUACCUAUAAGACUGGGAUAACUUCGGGAAACCGGAGCUAAUACCGGAUAAUAUAUUGAACCGCAUGGUUCAAUAGUGAAAGACGGUUUUGCUGUCACUUAUAGAUGGAUCCGCGCCGCAUUAGCUAGUUGGUAAGGUAACGGCUUACCAAGGCAACGAUGCGUAGCCGACCUGAGAGGGUGAUCGGCCACACUGGAACUGAAACACGCUCCAGACUCCUACGGGAGGCAGCAGUCGGGAAUCUUCCGCAAUGGGCGAAAGCCUGACGGAGCAAGGCCGCGUGAGUGAUGAAGGUCUUUGGUUCGUAAAACUCUGUUAUUAGGGAAGAACAAAUGUGUAAGUAACUAUGCACGUCUUGACGGUACCUAAUCAGAAAGCCACGGCUAACUACGUG
rnacentral:rRNA from 1 species